GCAUAAUGACACCGUAACUUCGGGAUAGGGUGUGCCGACGGUAGGUGAUGUGCCUGCGCACAAAGCCCAAGUCGGUUGCAGUGAAACGGGGGUAGCGACUGUUUACCAAAAACACAGCACUCUGCAAACUCGUAAGAGGAUGUAUAGGGUGUGAUGCCUGCCCGGUGCCGGAAGGUUAAGAGGAGGAGUCAGCCGCAAGGCAAAGCCCCGAAUCGAAGCCCCGGUAAACGGCGGCUGUAACUAUAACGGUCCUAAGGUAGCGAAAUUCCUUGUCGGGUAAGUUCCGACCUGCACGAAUGGCAUAACGACUUCCCCACUGUCUCGGAGAGGCCCUCAGCGAAGUAGCACUAGGGGUGAAGAUACCCUUUACCCGCGGCAGGACGGAAAGACCCCGUGAACCUUUACUGUAACUUGGCACUGAUUUUCGGGUUAGCUUGCGUAGGAUAGGUGGGAGGCUAUGAAGCCGGGAUUCCGGUCUCGGCAGAGCCAACCUUGAAAUACCACCCUGGCUAACCUAAAAAUCUAACUCGCUUCCGUAAUCCGGAAGGAGGACAAUGCCUGGUGGGCAGUUUGACUGGGGCGGUCGCCUCCCAAAAAGUAACGGAGGCGCGCGAAGGUUCCCUCAGCCUGAUUGGAAACCAGGCGCAGAGUGUAAUGGCAUAAGGGAGCUUGACCGCGAGACAAACAAGUCGAGCAGGUGCGAAAGCAGGUCAUAGUGAUCCGGUGGUCCUGUAUGGAAAGGCCAUCGCUCAACGGAUAAAAGGUACUCCGGGGAUAACAGGCUUAUCACGCCCAAGAGUUCACAUCGACGGCGUGGUUUGGCACCUCGAUGUCGGCUCAUCGCAUCCUGGGGCUGAAGUAGGUCCCAAGGGUUCGGCUGUUCGCCGAUUAAAGCGGUACGCGAGCUGGGUUCAAAACGUCGUGAGACAGUUUGGUCCCUAUCCGCCGUGGGCGCAGGAGACUUGAGAGGAGCUAACCUUAGUACGAGAGGACCGGGUUGGACUGACCUCUAGUGUUCCGGUUGUGGCACCAGCCGCAUCGCCGGGUAGCUACGUCGGGAAUGGAUAACCGCUGAAAGCAUCUAAGCGGGAAGCCAGCCUCAAGAUUAGGUCUCCCAGGUCGUAAGACCCUAAAGGCCCCUCGUAGACCACGAGGUAAUAGGCUGGGUGUGGAAGCGUAGUAAUACGUGAAGCUGACCAGUACUA
rnacentral:rRNA from 1 species